GCCGGGUUCCCCUCCCCUCGCCCAGCAGGGGCAGGAUCGCGCGCUCCCGGGCGCCUGGUGGAAAGGGAGGCUCCAGCGGCGCUGCGGCGCGGGACAGAUGUGGUGCCCCUUCCAAAAAAACCCCCACAAAAACUACCCCUCAGCGCCCCGAUGAUCCAGAUGUGUGGCAGCUAAGAGGAAGCGCCCCGCGCAAAGCGUGACAGGCUGGUAAAGUUGCGCCGCAGAAGGGAACGGCUUAAAAUGGGGGGCAGAAAUGGAACAAGAGGGGUCUUUCAGGGCUUGUGAAGGGCGCAAUGUUUUCCAUCUAUUGUUUUGUUUUAUUUAAUUGCGUUUAUAACUCACCCUUUUCUCAAAGGAACACAACACAUAGAAUUGUAGAAUUGGAAGGGACCACCAGGAUCAUCAAGUCUACACCCACAUGUGGGACUCGAACCCACGACCCUGUGAUUAAGAGGCUUGUGCUCUACCGACUGAGGAACCCCUCCUCAUGAUCUACCCUGUGAGGUAGGUUAGACUGAGAGACACUGACUGGCAGUGAGCUUGGUGGCCCAGCGGGGAUUUGAACCCUGGUCUCCCAGGUCAUAGUCCCAACACUCUUAACCAUUACACUGCACUGGCCGGUCCCCCCAAAAAGAGGCUGUUAGGGAUUUCUGCUUAAAUGGGCAAUGUGCGUUUUCUUUUCUCCUCCCCGCUUUCACCCAGGUUCUGGGGGUUCCAGGCUAGACCUGAAGUUUCAGGGUUGGAUUUUAACCUCCUUCUGUGCAAAGAGAGUCAAGGGCCAAAAGGUAGGGGUGAAGACUGUUUUCUGCUUGGGAAGAGCUUUUGCUGUUUGCUCCACUCCACAUCCAUCAGGCUGCACCCUUAAAGUACAGAACAGUCUGGCUCUUCCUUUGUCCCCAGGAAAAGCUGCAAGGGACUCUCACUUCCUGUUUCUUGACUGAUUACUCCACCUGAUGUGGACACACCCCUUCAGGGUUCAGAUUGUCCCCUGCCACACAAGCCCCAUGACAAUAUUACUCUCUUCUGUGCUUGCCACUGAGAUGCUUUUGCAUUUGCUGUUGCCUUUUGAGCAGGGCCUUUUUUGUUGUGUCACCCAGCAUGAGAAACUUCCCUGUCCCAGGAAGCUAUGUUGUCUCCUCCUUUGCUUUUGCAGCAAGGAUUAGAAUUUUCUCUUUAGAUUUCUCUUCCGGUGCUAUGGACCGGACAGCUCUCUGUUUCUUCUCCUUCAUUUUGUCCUGUUUUGGGACUUCCAGUGUUUGUGUUAUAUUAAUGUGAAGACAUAAUGAAAGAGUGUCUCCACCCCCAUCAUUCUGCCCGGACACUGAGGUCCAGCUCCAAGGGCCUUCUGGUGGUUCCCUCCCUACGAGAAGUGAAAUUACAGGGAACCAGGCAGAGGGCCUUCUCAGUAGUGGCACCCUCCUGUAGAACACCCUCCUAUCAGAUGUCAAGGAAAUAAACAUCUGACUUUUAGAAGACAUCUGAAGGCAGCCCUGUUUAGGGAAGUUUUAAAUGUUUGAUGUCUUAUCAUGUUUUUAAUAUUCUAUUGUGAGCCACCCAGAGUGGCUGAGGAAACCCAGGCAGAUGGGUGGGCUAUUAAUUAUUAAUUAUUAGUUAUAAUUAUUAAUUAGUAUAAAUAUAAAAGACUGCUUACUAUUGCCAUUAUCCGUGCAUGUUUCAGAAGUCUGCACAGCUCUUCAACUGUUCCUUUUUACUCUGUCAGGAACAGAGACAGCGAUGUGGUGGAAAACUUUGAAUUGAGAAAUUUUCCAAUGCACUAACCACAUUUGUACCAGGCACAAAGACUGCAAAAGAGGAUCAAAGGAAUGCUUCUGAGCUCAUCUGUGAAAAAUCCACACCAAAACCAAAGGGGAAUCAAAAUAAGGAACAUCCAGGAUAUUCUAAAAACUGCAAAACUAUGUUAUUCAGCAUUUAGACAGUUUGAGCAUAAGAAGACCUUGUUGGCUCACGCCAUUGGCCCAUUUAGUCCAGCCUCCUGUUCUUGCAGUGCCCAACCAGACGCCUGCGGGAAACCCCACAAGCAGGACUGAAGCACAAAAAAGGAGGGCCCAACUAUAGGAUGAGUUAGACUACAACUUUGCAUUUAAUGUACAGAUUUUUAAAAAAUACAAAUAUCAGCUUGAGUGGUGGGGAUUAUAAUGACCAGGAUGCUGCAGGGGUACAGUAAUUUAAUCCUUUCCUUUGAGGGAAACCCCUCCUUUGCUGCUGCUGUUUGCUUUGAGAAGAGGACAUCACAUUCCACAAUGUGGAAUGUGAUUAUUAUUAUUAUUAUUAUUAAAUUUGUGUACCACCCCUGAUCCAUAGAUACUAUGCUAUUAACGUUUACUUAUCUGCACGGUUCUUUUGCACCAGUCACUGCUAAGAGAAAUCGAAUUUCAAAUGUUUUUUUUAAAGAAACAAGGUACAAAUAUCAACUCCAGAAUGCAGUUUGCAAAUUGAGUGUGUUUCUACAAAAUAAGAUGCAUUUGCACAAUUCAGAAUUUAUUCAGGAUGUCAGUUUUCUGGGCUUCUUAAUAUCGCAUUUGAGUUUCUCCCGGGAAGACAAACCCGCGGAAGAUAAUUCACUGUUGCAGACUGUGAGUAGUGAAACUGAUUUGUCCUAAUUCUUCCUUCUAAUGAUACAACGCUAGCAACAUCUCCAGCCCUCUGUCGAUUACUUAUAUGAUGUCUGUCAGGAUACAAAUCCUACCAAGGCAGUUGAUAAGUAUCAUUAAAUUAAUGUCCCCAAACCCAACUGUUCUGGACAUCAGUCAUACAAGAAAUAUGCAAAAUAACUAAGCAGGUAUUAGAAGUCACCCCAGAACUGGCCCUACUGAACAUCUUCCAAGAUAAUAAUGCCCACUCACAUUGUAAAGAGCUCAUAACCCACCUACUCUCAGCAGCCAGAAGCAUCAUAGCCGGACACUGGAGAGACCUGUCAGGAGUAAGCAUGAACCGAUGGUAUCGAAUACAGUGGUACCUCUGGUUAAGUACUUAAUUCGUUCCGGAGGUCCGUUCUUAACCUGAAACUGGUCUUAACCUGAAGCACCACUUUAGCUAAUGGGGCCUCCCACUGCCGCUGUGCCACCGCCACUGCACGAUUUCUGUUCUCAUCCUGAAGCAAAGUUCUUAACCCGAGGUACUAUUUCUGGGUUAGUAGAGUCUAACCUGAAGCGUAUGUAACCUGAAGCGUAUGUAACCCAAGGUACCACUCUAGUAUGGGAAACAGCCUUACUAGAAGAGCUAACCAAUAAACUGAAAUUGACAA